CUCUGUUCAAUCCUCCAACUGUUUCAAAUCCAUUUGGGAUUCAUGACAGAUACUAGUUUGCCAUUUCCUUCUGUAAUGAAGAAGGUAUUGAAACAGGAUUGAAGAAGGUACAGCGGGUACUGGAAGGACUUGUAACCGGGAAUGGAAGAAUUGAAGGGACCGAGGGAAUAUGGUUGCUGGUGAGGUAAAAGGAGAGAGGUAACCCCUGCUGAGAGACUGUCUUUGUAUAUAUUCCUCACACUCAACCCACAGGAGAGGUACCCUUGGAUAAGGUUAGGUUAAGGAUGACAGGAUCAGAGUUUAAAGUGACUUCUGGGGAAUAGUGCCUUUUACUACUCAAGGCUUGACUAGUAGUUGAACCCCAGGGGUUUCCCUUGUCAUCCAGGCAGACUGUCCCUAUUGACUUCCACUGUUUAGCCUAGGCUAAUGAUUAACUUAGCCAAAAACCACUCUCUUUUUUCUCCCUUCAAUGUGUAUUUGACUGUAAUUUUUCUAUUUCUCAAGUAGUUUAAUAAUUAGUGUAAAUCAAGAAAGGGGAUAGGUAAGUGGGAAUCAGAGACCCUUGCUGCUUCUUCAGCUGAGCCAAGAUGGCUCAGCUUCAGCCUUCUUUGUCUUCUACCUAGCUAGUCACUAUCUCUAUCUUACUAAACAAAAGGCAAGUGUCUUUCUUGCAAAGGUCAAGGGAUGGAAAGGAUCUUCAGGGUGAUGCCCUGAAGUAAAGGGAUUAACCCCUUUCAGCAGCUCACUUUGUCUUGUUCUUCCUUUAAUGGAUGCUCUCAUACAUACAUGAACCUUCUUUUUCUUUUGGGUAGGGGAAAUGGAGACCAGGUAGUCCACAGGUUGGGAUAUAGAGCUCCAGGUCUUCGCUCCACACUCAGCCGUGUUCAGAAGGCAAAGACCCUUCUUCCAUCAGCAGUUUUUCCCACAAUCCUCUUCUCUCACUCCAACUGCCUGAUCACAUUCCAACUGGAUUUACAGUUUUCCUUUCCACACUUCUCUAGCUCAUUUGACAGGUUAAAUUAUCAACAGAUGGUUUGGAGAAAUGUUUGCUCAUUACCUGAAAAAUUCUACUGCAGGAUAAAUGGAGGAUUUCAUCCACAUUUUGUUUGUAUUCACUAGCCUAUACAAGUACUAUAUAUUUUCAUAUCUGUUAUUUUUUUAUAGAUUAACUUCUUCAUAAACUAGUACAAAUAUUUUGGAUGAAUCAACUAAGAAGAUUUCCUAUUUGAUGUUCAUUAAAGAAUCCCAUUCACCUUUAGUCUUCCCAGGGAGUCCACUUCUCUAUAACAGUGGAAUUUUCUCUGAAGGAACAUUCUAAAAGUAAACAAGGAUAAUAAUAAAAGUGCCCUUUUCUGGAGGUUGUCUAUUUGA
rnacentral:lncRNA from 1 species